GGCUCAAUGGUCUAGUAGUAUGAUUCUCCCUUCGGGUGGUCCCGGAUCGGUGCGGUCUCUUGGGAGAGGUCUCGGGUUCAAUUCCCGAUUGAGCCC